CUCCAGGGGAGGAAAAGAAGGGAAAACAUUCCCGUAAGGGUUACGGUGAGUUCCCGCUCCCGUAACUUCUCCGUCCGAGCUCCGAUCGCCGCACCGUUUGCGGCCACGCAUUCACUGCGUCGAGCUCUACAUUUCUACCGGAACAAUUUCUUUGGAUCUAAUUAGCUUGAGGAAAACGUUCAUUCUUGCUUAUGUGAAGCUUGGGUAAGAUGCAGGUCGAGAGGCAUCUCGUUAGGCGUCUGGACUCUUGAAGCGGAGUGGUUACUGGGUUAUUUUGUUAUGCUAUGAUGUAUAUUUACGUACUUAGCUUUCUCUCCACAUAACUUAUUCUUUUUUAUCCUCCUAGAGGUGUAUGGAGAGGCAGGAUUUUGUUUAUGUACAUUUGGGUUUUGGAUAUGUUUAUAUAUGUAUAUAUGUGUGUAUAUUCUCCGGCUAGUCUUGACUUCGCAGGCUGAGUCAGGAGCUCGUUAUUUUGUGUCUUUGAC